rnacentral:rRNA from 1 species
AGGGUUUGAUUCUGGCUCAGAUUGAACGCUGGCGGCAGGCCUAACACAUGCAAGUCGAGCGGAUGACAGGAGCUUGCUCCUGAAUUCAGCGGCGGACGGGUGAGUAAUGCCUAGGAAUCUGCCUGGUAGUGGGGGACAACGUUUCGAAAGGAACGCUAAUACCGCAUACGUCCUACGGGAGAAAGCAGGGGACCUUCGGGCCUUGCGCUAUCAGAUGAGCCUAGGUCGGAUUAGCUAGUUGGUGAGGUAAUGGCUCACCAAGGCGACGAUCCGUAACUGGUCUGAGAGGAUGAUCAGUCACACUGGAACUGAGACACGGUCCAGACUCCUACGGGAGGCAGCAGUGGGGAAUAUUGGACAAUGGGCGAAAGCCUGAUCCAGCCAUGCCGCGUGUGUGAAGAAGGUCUUCGGAUUGUAAAGCACUUUAAGUUGGGAGGAAGGGCAUUAACCUAAUACGUUAGUGUUUUGACGUUACCGACAGAAUAAGCACCGGCUAACUCUGUGCCAGCAGCCGCGGUAAUACAGAGGGUGCAAGCGUUAAUCGGAAUUACUGGGCGUAAAGCGCGCGUAGGUGGUUUGUUAAGUUGGAUGUGAAAGCCCCGGGCUCAACCUGGGAACUGCAUUCAAAACUGACAAGCUAGAGUAUGGUAGAGGGUGGUGGAAUUUCCUGUGUAGCGGUGAAAUGCGUAGAUAUAGGAAGGAACACCAGUGGCGAAGGCGACCACCUGGACUGAUACUGACACUGAGGUGCGAAAGCGUGGGGAGCAAACAGGAUUAGAUACCCUGGUAGUCCACGCCGUAAACGAUGUCAACUAGCCGUUGGGAGCCUUGAGCUCUUAGUGGCGCAGCUAACGCAUUAAGUUGACCGCCUGGGGAGUACGGCCGCAAGGCUAAAACUCAAAUGAAUUUGACGGGGGCCCGCACAAGCGGUGGAGCAUGUGGUUUAAUUCGA